rnacentral:rRNA from 1 species
UGGGGAAUAUUGGACAAUGGGCGAAAGCCUGAUCCAGCAAUGCCGCGUGGGUGAAGAAGGUCUUCGGAUUGUAAAGCCCUUUCGGCGGGGACGAUGAUGACGGUACCCGCAGAAGAAGCCCCGGCUAACUUCGUGCCAGCAGCCGCGGUAAUACGAAGGGGGCUAGCGUUGCUCGGAAUUACUGGGCGUAAAGGGCGCGUAGGCGGCGCGCACAGUCAGGCGUGAAAUUCCUGGGCUUAACCUGGGGGCUGCGCUUGAUACGUGCAGACUCGAGUUCGGAAGAGGGUCGUGGAAUUCCCAGUGUAGAGGUGAAAUUCGUAGAUAUUGGGAAGAACACCGGUGGCGAAGGCGGCGACCUGGUCCGACACUGACGCUGAGGCGCGAAAGCGUGGGGAGCAAACAGGAUUAGAUACCCUGGUAGUCCACGCCGUAAACGAUGUGCGCUGGAUGUUGGGUGACCUAGUCACUCAGUGUCGUAGCUAACGCGAUAAGCGCACCGCCUGGGGA